ACGCUCGACACCUACGGGGGCAGCAGUGGGGAAUAUUGCACAAUGGGGGAAACCCUGAUGCAGCGACGCCGCGUGAAGGAAGAAGUAUUUCGGUAUGUAAACUUCUAUCAGCAGGGAAGAAAAUGACGGUACCUGACUAAGAAGCCCCGGCUAACUACGUGCCAGCAGCCGUGGUAAUCUGAGCGGGCUGGCAAGGC
rnacentral:rRNA from 1 species